rnacentral:siRNA from 1 species
CACCUUGCCUAUAAACUUAGCUU